CCUGUUAUCCUAAUGUCUAACAUUUUACCAACAGAUAUCCUGGCAUAUUCUAUACUGCUAAAUUGUUAAUUCAUUUAUCAAAUUAGAAAAGUGUAUCUCAUACAUUCUGAAUAUGGAGGAAAUAUUAAUUUAUAAUUAUUUUGACAUGACUAGGAAUGUAAAUUUACCGGAAAACUAGAAUAGGAAGACAUUUCCCUAGAAAUUUGGAGAAAAACGGGAAAAUAAGGAAGCAACGGAGAAUUUUCUUUAAAAAAUUAUUUUACAGACUAUCUAUAUUAUAAUUUUUUGAUGUCCUCGCUACAUCAUUCGUGUGUCAGGUUAUCGCUACGUCAUGUCAUCGUUACUAUUCUUAUUAUUUAUUUAUCAAUUUCAAAAAAAUAAUAAAGAAAUAAAUAUUUUCUUCAAAUUAUUUUAUCUCAAAUUCAAUCAACAGUAUUCCAGUAAUUUCACUUCUAAUGGGUCACUAAUUAUAGUGUGCAAGUUAAUUAUAUUAUAUUGAAGCAAAUUAUAUAUUAGUACAAAUUUUAGAUAUCAAAAAAUAAAAAUUUUCUUCAAAUCAUUCUAUUCUAAAUUCAACUCAACCAGUAUUCAAAAUUUGCUUCUGGUAGCUUUCUUACCAUUAAGGUUUUCUUAAUUCCAACUGAUUCUGGCUUACCAUUUUUUUAAGUGCCGCCAAUUUCUCGUGAGACCUGCUUAUGUCAUGACAAUUUAUAAAGCUCAGAGACAAACGUCGUUGGACAAAGUUGGUAUCUAUUUACCUCAUCCUGUUUUUUCACAUUGACAGCUAUAUGUGGCUAUGUCUCGGGUUUGUUUUCCUCAAUGUGGUGUUGAGGUUAUAUCCGAUUAAUCCCGUUAAUACGAAUACGAUAGAACAACACUAUAUGAUAUUUUUUUUAUAAUUUAAAUAAAUUUAUAUAUCUAUUUUAAGUAUCCUACUUAUUUUUAAAGCUAUCCAUUAUGUCGGGCCGAGCAAUAUGCCCUUUUAUCUAUGAUGAAUAUUUUGUAUAACUCACAGAAAAAUAUACAUAGUAUAUUAUUUUUAUUAUUUAAAUAAAUUUAUAUAUUAAGGAUCUUACUUUAUUUAAAGCUUGGCAUUUUGUCACGAACAAUGCUUUAUUAUCCCUGCUGAUUAUUUUGUAUAUAACUCACAAAUAUAUAGUUUCUUUUCCUUGGUACCUUCUAACUUACGCUAAUCUUUUUAAUUUAAUUUUUAUUUUAGAAUAAAUGUAUACUUUUUUUACUUGAUAUAUUUUGAGCAAUAUGCCCUUUUAUCUAUGAAAUAUUUUGUAACUCACAGAAAAAUAUACAUAGUAUAUUAUUUUUAUUAUUUAAAUAAAUUUAUAUUAAGGAUCUUACUUUUUUUAAAGCUUGCCAUUUUGUCACGAUGCUUUAUUAUCCCUGCUGAUUAUUUUGUAUAUAACUCACAAAAAUAUAUACAUAGUUUCUUUUCCUUGGUACCUUCUAACUACGCUAAUCUUUUUAAUUUAAUUUUAAUUCUUUUUUAGAAUAAAUGUAUACUUUUUUUACUUGAUAUAUUUUUUAUUUUCUUUUUCUUAUUUUUUUUCCUUUCAACUAAAAAUGAAUGAAAUUCUCUUUUCAAAUUUUCUUUUAGCAACAGGAAUAAUAAUGAUUUAUUUUGCUUUGUUUUCACUUUAUAUAACAUCGCGAAAAGAAUAAAUACAAAAAUAAUCUACACAAUAACAAUAAUAUUAUAUUUUUUUUUUCAACAACGAUA